rnacentral:rRNA from 1 species
ACUCCUACGGGAGGCAGCAGUAGGGAAUCUUCCACAAUGGGCGCAAGCCUGAUGGAGCAACACCGCGUGAGUGAAGAAGGGUUUCGGCUCGUAAAGCUCUGUUGUUAAAGAAGAACACGUAUGAGAGUAACUGUUCAUACGUUGACGGUAUUUAACCAGAAAGUCACGGCUAACUACGUGCCAGCAGCCGCGGUAAUACGUAGGUGGCAAGCGUUAUCCGGAUUUAUUGGGCGUAAAGAGAGUGCAGGCGGUUUUCUAAGUCUGAUGUGAAAGCCUUCGGCUUAACCGGAGAAGUGCAUCGGAAACUGGAUAACUUGAGUGCAGAAGAGGUAGUGGAACUCCAUGUGUAGCGGUGGAAUGCGUAGAUAUAUGGAAGAACACCGAGUGGCGAAGGCGGCUACCUGGUCUGCAACUGACGCUGAGACUCGAAAGCAUGGGUAGCGAACAGGAUUACGAUACCCCGUGGUAGGAUAGCG